AUGUGGCCAGUUUCUGAGAAACCUAGGCCUCAAGCUCCAGCAUAUGCAACCAUACCAGGCAGGCCUAAGAAUAAUGACAGAAGGAGAGAGGAAAAUGAGAAACCUAAGCCUAGCAAAAAAAUGACCAAGCAUGGCACUCUCAUUAUUUGCUCAUUGUGUGGCACUGUUGGACACAACAAGUCAGGUUGCAAGCAAAACCCAGAGAGAGGCAAGAAGAAAAAUGCACACCUUAAGAAGACUACCAAAGAAAGAGACACAACAAAGGUGAGUAUUUUACUUGGUUCCCUACAGUAUAAAUGA
rnacentral:rRNA from 1 species